AGCAUGUUAGCUCAGGGGAAGAGCGGUAAUUUUUCACGUGACCUCCAAUCAAUUCGAGUUAUAAACUAACAUAAUCACAGCCGGGCUCAUAACCCGGAGGUACGAUUAUCCUUCAUCACAACCAAUCACAAUCCGAUUCCUAACGAACAAUAGGUCCCUGGAUCGAAACCAGGACAUGCUA